rnacentral:rRNA from 1 species
UACGUAGGGGGCAAGCGUUGUCCGGAAUCAUUGGGCGUAAAGCGCGUGUAGGCGGCCAGGUAAGUCCGUUCUGAAAGCCCGGGGCUCAACCCCGGGAGGCGGAUGGAUACUGCUUGGCUCGAGUCCGGAAGAGGCGAGUGGAAUUCCCGGUGUAGCGGUGAAAUGCGCAGAUAUCGUCAGGAACGCCAAUGGUGAAGACAGGUGACUGGGCUAGUUCUGACACUGAGGCACGAAAGCGUGGGGAGCGAACGGG